CGUGUUAUACGGUCAGUAACACGUAGUUAACCUGCCCUGGAGACACGGACAACCCCGGGAAACUGGGAUUAAUCCGUGAUAGGUCAUCUCAUCUGGAAGGAGAGAUGGCUUAAAGGGGUGCGAGAGCUUCUUUUUUGCAUCCGCUCCAGGAUGGGACUGCGGCCGAUCAGGCUGUUGGUGGGGUAAUGGCCCACCAAACCUGUAACCGGUACGGGCCUUGAGAGAGGGGGCCCUUAGAUGGACACUGAGAGAAGGGUCCAGGUCCUACGGGGCGCAGCAGGCGCGAAACCUUCGCAAUGCGCGAAAGCGUGACGAGGUUAAUCCGAGUGAUCCCCGCUGAGGGGAUCUUUUGUCGGCUGUAAAAAGGCCGGUGAAUAAGGGGAGGGCAAGUCUGGUGUCAGCCGCCGCGGUAAUACCAGCUCCUCGAGUGGUCGGGGCGAUUAUUGGGCCUAAAGCAUCCGUAGCCGGUUCUGUAGGUCCUCUGUUAAAUCCAACGGCUUAACCGUUGGCCCGCAGAGGAUACCGCAGGACUAGGAGGCGGGAGAGGUGGACGGUACUCCACGUGUAGGGGUAAAAUCCUUUGAUCCGUGGAAGACCACCAGUGGCGAAGGCGGUCCACCAGAACGCGCUCGACGGUGAGGGAUGAAAGCUGGGGGAGCGAACCGGAUUAGAUACCCGGGUAGUCCCAGCCGUAAACGAUGCAAGCUAGAUGAUCCGGUCGCAAAUCGCGAUCGGAGUGUCGCAGGGAAGCCGUUAAGCUUGCCGCCUGGGGAGUACGUCGCAAGACUGAAC
rnacentral:rRNA from 1 species